GAUGAGCCCUAUAUCUUCAGGGGCCCGGUCAGCGCUGCAGCCGUGUAAUUGUGCGACCGGGCCCCUUUAAAAAAAAUUGCGGCUACAAGUCCUGCUGGGAGGAAAUGACGGCCAGUCACUUCCUCCCAGCUUACUCCGCGCGGGAUGAGAGGGAGAGCAGAGGAGAGGUACAGGAGAGGCAUCCGCUCCCAUCUGCAACUUAAAG